GCUGCUUCUUACCGCCUCCAGAUGGCGCGCUGGUGCCCGUUCUCGCCUCCCAGAGACCGGCCAGUUGCCAGGUGCUGGAGAGAAUGAGCUUGAAGCCGCAGGGCUUAAUCCCGCGCGGCUCAGAGAUGGGUUUCUGGACUCGCGAAGCAGCGGCAACAAGGCAUCACUCAUUGUAGAAGUAUUUCCAUUUCUGAGAGCAAAAGGAAGAACUUAAGCGGGCGGCACUUGGAGUGUAAAUUGCUUUGUAGUAUUUAAAGGCAGAAUGGAUCCUGGGCAGCCGAGCUGCAACAAACCAGCAGGACUUCCUGUGAAAUCAUGACUGCCAUGUGCUGGUUCAGCCUCCAUCAAUCCCUACCUCUAAGCACCUGAGAGCCAAAGCAAACCACAGGAAACCACAGGUAUUAACUCUUUUAGACCUGAUGAAGUGUCUCCCAAAGACAGUCUGGCAUGACUCAAACUAAACAUCAGCUUUUCCUGGCUCUCAAGCCUGCUGGUCCCUGAACUAAAACUCACAUUAUCAACUCUACUGGUUCUUAGUCCUUUGGAGUCAGACUGGAACUAUACCAUUGACUCUUCCGGAACUCCAGCUUACUGACUACAGAUCUUGGAACUUUUCAGCUUCCACAACCAUGAAAGUUAUGUAACAUGUCAAGAGUGAAGAAUGAGUUUGGAAAAGUUGCUCUUCAUGGCAUUCUUUUACUGCGAACCGCAAAUGGUGUGCUUGAGCUGUUGGAAGCAGGCUGAAACAAUUGGAAAACAAUAAGGGGUUUCACCUUAUUGCCCGAGCUGGUCUUGAAGUUCUGGGCUCAAGCAAUCUGCCUGCAUUAGCCUCCCGAAGUUCUGGGAUUACCAACAAGAGCUACCAUGCCUGUGCCAAAGCUGUUCUCUGAGCUGAAGAAAAACUACGAAAGAUAGAAACUCAGAUGUGCAGGAAAGAAUAUAGACACCAAAAAAGAGACCAUAUCAUAUUUGCUCCAGUACUUCCAGCAAGGAAAUUGUACACAUAUUUGAGACGACUGUUGUAACUUACCCUUCUGCCUGGUCACAGGAAGUGGUGUCAUUCUUAAAAAGAAAUGAAGUCUUGCCACGUUGUCCAGGCUGGUCUCAAACUCCUGGACUCAACCAAUCCACCCACCUUGGCUUCCCAAAGUGCUAGGAUUAUAGGCAUGAGCCACUGCACCCAACCUAGGAAAUAUAGAAAAGGUAUCACGAGCUUGGAUGGAAAGGUAAAAGAAAAAUGCUGAACAUGGAUCUACCACUGAAGUUACCUGCCUCAGGGUCAUGUGCUACAUAAAGGUGUUUUGCUCAACAAUGGACUUCAUAUACAGUGGUGGUCCCAUAAGUUUAUAAUGAAGCUGAAAAAGUUAUCUCACCUAGUGAUGUCAUAGCUGCUGUACUGCAACACAUUACUCAUGGGUUUGUGGUGAUGCUGAUGUCAACAAACCUACUACACUGCCAGCCACAUAAAAAUAUAGCACAUACAAUUAUGUACAGCAUAUAAUAUUUGAUAAUGGUAAUAAAUAUGUUAUGGCUUUAUGUAUUUACUAUACUAGCCUUCUUGUUAUUUUAGAAUGUACUCCUACUUGUAAAAGAAGCUAACUGUAAAACAGCAUUAGACAGGUCCUUUAGGAGGUAUUUCAGAAGACGACAUUGUUAUCAUGGGAGAUUACAAUUUCACUUCCUGUUAUUGCCCCUGAAGAAUUCCCAGAGAAACAAGAUGAGAUGGUAGAAGGAAGGGAUAUUGAUGAUCCUGACCCUGUGUAGACUAGAGUAAUGCAUGUGCUUUUGCCUUAGUUUUUAACAAAAAACUUAAAGAGUGAAAAAGAAACUUUAAAAAUAUAAAAAAGUGUAUAGAAUAAGACUACACAAAAAAGAAAAUAUUCUUGUAUAGCACACAGUGUGUGUUUUAGACUGUGUUAUUACAAAAGAGUCAAAAAGUCAAAAAAAGUAUAUAAAGUAAAAAAGUUACAGUAAUCUAAGGAUAACAUUAUUGAAGAAAAAACUUUAUAAGUUUAUUGUAGUUUAAGUGUAUAGUGUUGUUAAGGCCCUAGGCCUUAAUAUUCAGUCACCACUCACUCAUUGACUCACUCACAGCAACUUCCAGUCCUGCAAGCUCCAU